GCAGUUGUGGCCUAGUGGAUAAGGUGAUUGAUCGGAGAUCAAAAGAUCGCUGGUUCUAUCCCCAGCUCCA